rnacentral:rRNA from 1 species
GUAGGUGGCAAGCGUUGUCCGGAAUUAUUGGGCGUAAAGCGCGCGCAGGCGGUUCUUUAAGUCUGAUGUGAAAGCCCACGGCUCAACCGUGGAGGGUCAUUGGAAACUGGAGAACUUGAGUACAGAAGAGGAAAGCGGAAUUCCACGUGUAGCGGUGAAAUGCGUAGAGAUGUGGAGGAACACCAGUGGCGAAGGCGGCUUUCUGGUCUGUAACUGACGCUGAGGCGCGAAAGCGUGGGGAGCAAACAGGAUUAGAUACCCUGGUAGUCCACGCCGUAAACGAUGAGUGCUAAGUGUUAGGGGGGUUUCCGCCCCCCCUUAGCGCUGCAGCUAACGCAUUAAGCACUCCGCCUGGGAGUACGGCCGCAAGGCUG